rnacentral:rRNA from 1 species
CCUACGGGGGGCAGCAGUGAGGAAUAUUGGUCAAUGGGCGGGAGCCUGAACCAGCCAAGUCGCGUGAGGGAAGACGGUCCUAUGGAUUGUAAACCUCUUUAGGCGGGGAGCAAUGCCGAGCACGCGUGCCCGGAGGGAGAGAACCCGCGGAAUAAGCAUCGGCUAACUCCGUGCCAGCAGCCGCGGUAAUACGGAGGAUGCGAGCGUUAUCCGGAUUUAUUGGGUUUUAAGGGGGCGUAGGCGGAAUGCCAAGUCAGCGGGAAAAUCGCGGGGCUCAAACUCGCUCCGCCGUUGAAACUGGCGUU